CUAAAGUCGUUUUACUUUAGAUGCUUUCCGAAAGGUUGUCCACGUCAUUUCCAGAUUCCAUGAACAGAUAAUCUCCAAGGUAUCACUCAAGUUAAAGAGACGGGACUUCUUCCCUCCCCACCCGUCUCCACGCAUCAGUGGAGGGGAGGGAGGAGACGGCGGACAGAAGAAGGAGGGGGGGCAAAGUGAGAAAAGCAAGAUGAGAAAGGGGUGUGGAAGGAAGGAUGAGAGGAGGGCAGGGAGAGAGGACGAUUAGGGCUGGUGGAGAGCCCGGGGCGUCUGCCCGGGCACGGGACCCGGUCCCGCAGCGCGCAGCCAGCUCCGCGGCCCCGGAGCAGUCGCAGCCCCUGCCCGGCCCGGCCCGGCCCGCGAGCCGCCUUCCCGCUCCGGACUGCGGCGGGCAGCGCUCGCGAUGCUGCCUCGGUACUAUUGCUCUCGUUGCUGAUGAAGCCAUGCUAUAUAAAGUACACCUCUGUCA
rnacentral:lncRNA from 1 species